rnacentral:rRNA from 1 species
AGCAGCCGCGGUAAUUCCAGCUCCAAUAGCGUAUAUUAAAGUUGUUGCAGUUAAAAAGCUCGUAGUUGAAUUUCGGGGUUCAUCCGUUGGUCGGGCUUUUUUGGUCUGUACUGGCGUGAUGGAUUCCUACCUUCUGAAUAACCGGCAUGUCAUUAAUUUGGUGCGCUGGGGAAGCAGGACUGUUACCUUGAAAAAAUUAGAGUGCUUAAAGCAGGCUAUCGCCUGAAUACAUUAGCAUGGAAUAAUGAAAUAGGACGGCAUGGUUCUAUUUUGUUGGUUUCUAGGAUCACCGUAAUGAUUAAUAGGGAUAGUUGGGGGCAUUAGUAUUCAAUUGUCAGAGGUGAAAUUCUUGGAUUUAUUGAAGACUAACUUCUGCGAAAGCAUUUGCCAAGGAUGUUUUCAUUAAUCAAGAACGAAAGUUAGGGGAUCGAAGACGAUCAGAUACCGUCGUAGUCUUAACCAUAAACUAUGCCGACUAGGGAUCGGACGAUGUAAUUUUUAAUGACUCGUUCGCGCCUUA